CAUGCAAGUCGAGCGGAGUGAUGGUGCUUGCACUAUCACUUAGCGGCGGACGGGUGAGUAAUGCUUAGGAAUCUGCCUAUUAGUGGGGGACAACAUUUCGAAAGGAAUGCUAAUACCGCAUACGUCCUACGGGAGAAAGCAGGGGAUCUUCGGACCUUGCGCUAAUAGAUGAGCCUAAGUCGGAUUAGCUAGUUGGUGGGGUAAAGGCCUACCAAGGCGACGAUCUGUAGCGGGUCUGAGAGGAUGAUCCGCCACACUGGGACUGAGACACGGCCCAGACUCCUACGGGAGGCAGCAGUGGGGAAUAUUGGACAAUGGGCGCAAGCCUGAUCCAGCCAUGCCGCGUGUGUGAAGAAGGCCUUAUGGUUGUAAAGCACUUUAAGCGAGGAGGAGGCUACUGAAGUUAAUACCUUCAGAUAGUGGACGUUACUCGCAGAAUAAGCACCGGCUAACUCUGUGCCAGCAGCCGCGGUAAUACAGAGGGUGCAAGCGUUAAUCGGAUUUACUGGGCGUAAAGCGCGCGUAGGCGGCUAAUUAAGUCAAAUGUGAAAUCCCCGAGCUUAACUUGGGAAUUGCAUUCGAUACUGGUUAGCUAGAGUGUGGGAGAGGAUGGUAGAAUUCCAGGUGUAGCGGUGAAAUGCGUAGAGAUCUGGAGGAAUACCGAUGGCGAAGGCAGCCAUCUGGCCUAACACUGACGCUGAGGUGCGAAAGCAUGGGGAGCAAACAGGAUUAGAUACCCUGGUAGUCCAUGCCGUAAACGAUGUCUACUAGCCGUUGGGGCCUUUGAGGCUUUAGUGGCGCAGCUAACGCGAUAAGUAGACCGCCUGGGGAGUACGGUCGCAAGACUAAAACUCAAAUGAAUUGACGGGGGCCCGCACAAGCGGUGGAGCAUGUGGUUUAAUUCGAUGCAACGCGAAGAACCUUACCUGGCCUUGACAUAGUAAGAACUUUCCAGAGAUGGAUUGGUGCCUUCGGGAACUUACAUACAGGUGCUGCAUGGCUGUCGUCAGCUCGUGUCGUGAGAUGUUGGGUUAAGUCCCGCAACGAGCGCAACCCUUUUCCUUAUUUGCCAGCGAGUAAUGUCGGGAACUUUAAGGAUACUGCCAGUGACAAACUGGAAGGAAGGCGGGGACGACGUCAAGUCAUCAUGGCCCUUUACGGCCAGGG
rnacentral:rRNA from 1 species